UACGGAGGGUGCAAGCGUUGUUCGGAAUCACUGGGCGUAAAGCGCGUGUAGGCGGCCACCUAAGUCCGGUGUGAAAGCCCGGGGCUCACCCCUGGAAGUGCAUCGGAUACUGAGUGGCUCGAGUACCGGAGAGGAAGGUGGAAUUCCUGGUGUAGCGGUGAAAUGCGUAGAUAUCAGGAGGAACACCGGUGGCGAAGGCGGCCUUCUGGACGGAUACUGACGCUGAGACGCGAAAGCGUGGGGAGCAAACAGG
rnacentral:rRNA from 1 species